GGUAGUAUGGCUGAGUAGCAGGCAAUGGGCUGUAGACCCACGUACAGGGUUGAAACCCUUACUAUCA
rnacentral:tRNA from 1 species